rnacentral:lncRNA from 1 species
AGUAUGAAAGCUAUCACCUCUAGUAAUAAACUACAACUACAAAACCUAUAAGCUACAAAUGGAACUACAAUCCAAGCAGACAACACAAUUUCGUUAAACUAACUUCAAAACCGAAAUACAAACAAGGCAAUCUCGUUCCAAAACAGUUACGUUCAAAUCCUUAUCAAUAUUAAAUUUUUUUUAACUUCAAUUAAUUUUUUAGAAGCUCUCAGGUCUCUU